ensembl:snoRNA SNORA62 Small nucleolar RNA SNORA62/SNORA6 family
UCUGCUCAUGGUUAGAGCUUGAAGUUGAGGCCACUGUUUGGCCGAUGAACUGACAAGUGGGGGUAGUGUGGUACCCCGACAUGAGGGGCAAGUUUCUCAUUAACACUGCAAGGGUCUCUGGCCCCAUGAUUGGAGUUUGAUAGUAACACGUGCUACAAGU